rnacentral:rRNA from 1 species
CGUAGGUGGCAAGCGUUGUCCGGAAUUAUUGGGCGUAAAGCGCGCGCAGGCGAUCCUUUAAGUCUGAUGUGAAAGCCCACGGCUCAACCGUGGAGGGUCAUUGGAAACUGGGGGACUUGAGUACAGAAGAGAAGAGUGGAAUUCCACGUGUAGCGGUGAAAUGCGUAGAGAUGUGGAGGAACACCAGUGGCGAAGGCGACUCUUUGGUCUGUAACUGACGCUGAGGCGCGAAAGCGUGGGGAGCAAACAGGAUUAGAUACCCUGGUAGUCCACGCUGUAAACGAUGAGUGCUAAGUGUUAGAGGGUUUCCGCCCUUUAGUGCUGCAGCUAACGCAUUAAGCACUCCGCCUGGGGAGUACGGCCGCAAGGCUG